UGCGUACCUGCUCAGGAAACCUAAUGAACCGUUUCCAAAUCAUCACGCUCAAUCUUCAAUAAAAUAACUGAACAGAACCUGAAAUCCUGAACUUUUGACUCUAACAGAUCAUCUGUGGUGGGUUAGUUUAUCUGCCCCUCCAACAGUUUGCUCCACAUUAUAUAUUCAUGAGUUGCUGUUCACAGCAGACGUCACCUGGACAGUCGACUCUAGUUGUAAACCACGUUUGACUGCACAAGCUCAGAUGAGCUGAUUUCUUCUUCUGGUCCUGUGUGCAGGUGAACCUCUGGUCCAGCAGCUUCUUGCUGUAGUAGAUCUGCCAGGCGAGCAGCUGCACAGCGAUAACCAUCAGCAGACGUUCAGAGGAAACGCAGCCCUGCACCAUGAGAAGAGGGGCCGACCCCGGGACCAGGAACUUUAAAACCAGCUGCCGUCCAGCUGACGAGGCCUGAAGGACUCGCUGGUGAAAAGGUAGCAGGUGCGUCAGAUCCUGAGAGGGAACUCACCGUCAUGUCUUUUACACCAAAUAACUUCCAUACACAUUAAACACAUUAACAUUCAAACAUGCUUAAAAAAUGUAGAAUGUGUAGAAGAUAACACAGCAGCCUUUCACAAUAAAAUGUAGUUCAGCUGUUUGAA